UCCUAUAGCCCAGGAGCUUGUCGGGGCAGAGACCCCACAACUUGUGACAUGCCAGAGCAGCAGAGCUUCACAGGCUGAAGCCUGCCGAGACAGGGUCUUCCCCCCGCUGAGCCCGCUGGCAGAUCAAAUAAAAGGAGAGAAGAGUUAUAACCCCCCUCACUGAGGCCCCCUCCCCUCGAGGAAAAGGAAAAGAGGAAAGAGCAAAUGGUCCUGCGAUGCCAACAGUUCCUACCCCAGCUGGAUGGGAAACAUCACGAAAAGUCAGCUUCUCAGCAUCCCCGGGGAGCCAGGAGAUAUUCUCCUCAACCAGCAAAGGGAAGCUCAGAUGUGGUUGGAGGGUAGGCUGUGUCCUCAUGGAGGUGACAGCACUGUUCCACGGCCUUGAACCAAGGGGGAAGGCCCCAGCAAGCAUCUCCCCAGGGUCCAGCUGUGCCUGUUCCUCCAUCGUGCCAGACCUUUCAGAGCCAACUUCAAGCAAACAGCUUAAUUAAAUGCCUUUAUUCCAAGGA